rnacentral:rRNA from 1 species
CUGGGAUAAGCUUGGGAAACUGGGUCUAAUACCGGAUAUGACCGCAUGNNGCAUGUGGUGUGGUGGAAAGAUUUAUCGGUGCAGGAUGGGCCCGCGGCCUAUCAGCUUGUUGGUGGGGUAAUGGCCUACCAAGGCGACGACGGGUAGCCGACCUGAGAGGGUGACCGGCCACACUGGGACUGAGACACGGCCCAGACUCCUACGGGAGGCAGCAGUGGGGAAUAUUGCACAAUGGGCGGAAGCCUGAUGCAGCGACGCCGCGUGAGGGAUGAAGGCCUUCGGGUUGUAAACCUCUUUCAGCAGGGACGAAGCGUGAGUGACGGUACCUGCAGAAGAAGCACCGGCUAACUACGUGCCAGCAG